UCACGCAUGACACACUGCAUAUCAAUAAGCGGAGGAAAAGAAACUAACAAGGAUUCCCCUUAGUAACGGCGAGUGAAGCGGGAAGAGCUCAAAUUUGAAAUCUUCAAGGCUUUACCUUGACGAAUUGUAGUUUAUAGAAGUGUUUUCUGUUAGUAGAGUUGGUAAAAGUUCUUUGGAAUAGGACAUCAUAGAGGGUGAGAAUCCCGUAUUUGACCAGUUAUUUUCAGCUGUGUGAUACACUUUCAAAGAGUCGGAUUGUUUGGGAAUGCAGUCCAAAAUGGGUGGUAAAUUUCAUCUAAAGCUAAAUAUUGGCGAGAGACCGAUAGCGAACAAGUACCGUGAGGGAAAGAUGAAAAGAACUUUGAAAAGAGAGUUAAACAGUACGUGAAAUUGUCAAAAGGGAAGCGUUUGACACCAGUGUUGUUUUCUCGAAAAUCAAUUAAAAAUGAUGGGAUUUUGUGUUGUAUUGACUUUAUCAGCUUUCUGCACUUUUUUCUUAUCUUUUUUAAUGCACUUUUCGUUUAACAAGUCAACAUCAAUUUCCUUUGUUGUAAAAGAGUCAUUGGAAGGUGGCUUUUUCUUCGGAAAAAGUGUUUAUAGCCUUUGGCUUCUGCAAUCGGAGAGAUUGAGGUCUGCAGCGUAGAUCCUUCGGGGUUAGAUACAUUUGUGCUAAGCUAUAGUUCUUUAUAGACAACUUGUUGACUAUAAUCAAUCCUGUAACUUACUCGCUUAUGCUAUUUUACCUACGCUUAGGAUGUUGAGCGCAUGUCUCUCUCU
rnacentral:rRNA from 1 species